rnacentral:rRNA from 1 species
GCAAAUCUCUUAAAGCCGUUCUCAGUUCGGAUUGUAGGCUGCAACUCGCCUACAUGAAGUCGGAAUCGCUAGUAAUCGCGGAUCAGCAUGCCGCGGUGAAUACGUUCCCGGGCCUUGUACACACCGCCCGUCACACCAUGAGAGUUUGUAACACCCAAAGCCGGUGGGGUAACCUUUUGGAGCCAGCCGUCUAAGGUGGGACAGAUGAUUGGGGUGAAGUCGUAACAAGGUAUC